rnacentral:rRNA from 1 species
AUUGAACGCUGGCGGCGUGCCUAACACAUGCAAGUCGAGCGGUAACAGGUGUAGCAAUACAUGCUGACGAGCGGCGGACGGGUGAGUAACGCUUGGGAAUCUGCCUGUUAGUGGGGGCCAACCCGGGGAAACUCGGGCUAAUACCGCAUACGCACUACGGUGGAAAGCCGGGGACCGCAAGGCCUGGCGCUAACAGAUGAGCCCAAGUCGGAUUCGCUAGUUGGUAGGGUAACGGCCUACCAAGGCGACGAUCCGUAACUGGUCGGAGAGGAGGACCAGUCACACCGGAACGGAGACACGGUCCGGACGCCUACGGGAGGCAGCAGUGGGGAAUAUUGGACAAUGGGCGAAAGCCUGAUCCAGCGACGCCGCGUGGGUGAAGAAGGCCUGCGGGUUGUAAAGCCCUUUCGGUGGGGAAGAAAAGCCUCGAGCUAACACCUCGGGGUCUUGACGUAACCCAUAGAAGAAGCACCGGCUAACUCUGUGCCAGCCGCCGCAGUAAUAC